CAGCAGCCGCGUUAAUACGAAGGGUGCAAGCGUUAAUCGGAAUUACUGGGCGUAAAGCGUGCGUAGGCGGUGAGUUAAGUCUGCUGUGAAAUCCCCGGGCUCAACCUGGGAAUGGCAGUGGAUACUGGCUCGCUAGAGUGUGUCAGAGGAUGGUGGAAUUCCCGGUGUAGCAGUGAGAUGCGUAGAUAUGCGGAGGAACACCGAUGGCGAAGGCAGCCCCCUGGGCCAACACUGACGCUCAUGCACGAAAGCGUGGGGAGCAAACAGGAUUAGAUACCCGUGUAGUCCCUGUCUCUUAUAC
rnacentral:rRNA from 1 species